rnacentral:misc_RNA from 1 species
ACAAACUUGGUCAUUUAGAGGAAGUAAAAGUCGUAACAAGGUUUCCGUAGGUGAACCUGCGGAAGGAUCAUUAUUGAAUUUAAAAAAAUAUGGUCAGGUUGAUUGCUGGCUUUUAAAAGCAUGUGCACACUUUGGCUUAUUUUUUUUUUUUUUUUUUUUCAAUACUCUCUUGUGCAUUUUUGUGUGGAUUGUAAAUCAAUUAUCGAAAUGGCUCGGUUAGAGAUAUGCUGUGUGAAAGCCAGCUUAUUCUUGGAUUUUCCAAUCUACAAUUUUUAUACACUCCUUUUGUAUAUAGAAUGUAGAUUUGAAAAAAAUAAAUCAAAUACAACUUUCAACAAUGGAUCUCUUGGCUCUCGCAUCGAUGAAGAACGCAGC